rnacentral:tRNA from 1 species
GCCAUUUUAGCUAAAUGAUGAGAGCGACUCAUAAUCGCCAGGUCGCUGGUUCAAAUCCAGCAAGGGCCACCA